rnacentral:rRNA from 1 species
AUGUUGCCAGCCAUGGAGGAGCCCCCUAUUGGGGGCAACAGCAGCACUGAGGAGACAGGAGGGCCAAAAGAGAGCUUGGUGGUGAUUGAGGUUAAGAAGCAGCUGUACCUCGCCGGGCCUCUCAUUGCCGGAUGCCUGUUGCAGCAAGUCGUGCAGAUGAUAUCGAUCAUGUUUGUCGGCCAUCUCGAGUGGUGGUCGUCUGAGCUGCUGGUACUUCUCUCCGGACUUCUCCCAAAUCCUAAGCUGGAGGCAUCGGUGUUGUCCAUUUGCUUGAACACAGUUUCAUUAGCAAUCAUGAUCCCCUUCGGUCUUGGGGCAGCCAUAAGCACCCGUGUUUCAAAUGAGCUUGGUGCUGGGCGACCUGAAGCUGCCCGUCUGGCUACUCGUGUGAUCAUGGUUCUGGGCCUCGCGAUGGGUGUGUCUGUAGGACUUCUUAUGGUCUCGGUGCGCAAUAUAUGGGGGUACGCAUACAGCAACGAGAAUGAGGUGGUGGAAUACAUUGCGAGAAUGAUGCCGCUUCUUUCCGUGUCGAUCAUUUUCGACAAUCUGCAAUGUGUUCUUUCAGGUAUUGUCAGGGGCUGUGGCUUGCAAAGGAUUGGAGCUUGUGUCAAUCUCAGUGCGUACUACCUUGUCGGCAUUCCAGCGGCGCUAUGCUUUGCCUUUGUCUUCCAUCUCGGCGGAAUGGGGCUGUGGUUGGGAAUAAUCUGCGGGGUAGUUGUGCAGAUGCUGUUGCUGCUGGCCAUUACCAUGCGCACCAACUGGGACAAAGAGGCUCUCAAGGCAAAGGACAGAGUUUUGAGUUCGUCCCUGCCUCUAGACAUGACGACAUGA